UUCGUACUCUCUCCGUAAAAAAAAACUUGUCCCAAACUUGUUUCUCAAAUGAAUGUAUCUAUCACUAACUUAGUACUAGAUACGUCCAUUUGAGGGACAAGCUUUUUCGGACGGAGGGAGUACAUU
rfam:Triticum aestivum genome assembly, contig: Triticum_aestivum_CS42_TGACv1_scaffold_158641_2DL